rnacentral:rRNA from 1 species
AAGUGGCGAAAGGGGCAGUAAGGCGUGGGUAACCUACCCCGGGGAUCGGGAUAGCCUUCCUAACGGUUGGGUAAUACCGGGCGAUCCAGCGAGGAGACAUCUUCUUGCUGGGAAAUGAAUUUCGCCUCGGGAGGGGCUCACGUGCUAUUAGCUAGUUGGUGAGGUAACGGCUCACCAAGGCUUAGAUGGCUAGCAGGUGUGAGAGCACGACCUGCGCCACUGGCACUGCGACACUGGCCAGACUCCUACGGGAGGCUGCAGUCGAGGAUCUUCGGCAAUGGGCGCAAGCCUGACCGAGCGACGCCGCGUGUGCGAUGAAGGCCUUCGGGUUGUAAAGCACUGUCGAGGGGGAGGAAGCCGCAAGGUUGACCUAUCCCUGGAGGAAGCACGGGCUAAGUUCGUGCCAGCAGCCGCGGUAAGACGAACCGUGCGAACGUUGUUCGGAAUCACUGGGCUUAAAGGGCGCGUAGGCGGACCACCAAGUCCGGGGUGAAAUCUUUCGGCUUAACCGGAAAACAGCCUUGGAUACUGGUGGUCUCGAGGGAGGUAGGGGCCGUUGGAACUUCCGGUGGAGCGGUGAAAUGCGUUGAUAUCGGAAGGAACGCCGGUGGCGAAAGCGAACGGCUGGACCUCUUC